CGGAAUGCUUUACACAUGCAAGUCGAACGGCAGCACGGACUUCGGUCUGGUGGCGAGUGGCGAACGGGUGAGUAAUACAUCGGAACGUGCCCAGUCGUGGGGGAUAACGUAGCGAAAGCUACGCUAAUACCGCAUACGAUCUACGGAUGAAAGCGGGGGAUCGCAAGACCUCGCGCGAUUGGAGCGGCCGAUGGCAGAUUGGGUAGUUGGUGGGGUAAAGGCUCACCAAGCCGACGAUCUGUAGCUGGUCUGAGAGGACGACCAGCCACACUGGGACUGAGACACGGNCCANACUCCUACGGGAGGCAGCAGUGGGGAAUUUUGGACAAUGGGCGCAAGCCUGAUCCAGCCAUUCCGCGUGCAGGAUGAAGGCCCUCGGGUUGUAAACUGCUUUUGUACGGAACGAAAAGGCUCUGGUUAAUACCCGGGGCUCGUGACGGUACCGUAAGAAUAAGCACCGGCUAACUACGUGCCAGCAGCCGCGGUAAUACGUAGGGUGCGAGCGU
rnacentral:rRNA from 1 species